rnacentral:rRNA from 1 species
UACGUAGGGUGCGAGCGUUAAUCGGAAUUACUGGGCGUAAAGCGUGCGCAGGCGGUUCGUGAAGUCCGAUGUGAAAGCCCCGGGCCUAACCUGGGAAUGGCAUUGGAAACUGGCGGGCUAGAGUUUGGCAGAGGGGGGUGGAAUUCCUGGUGUAGCAGUGAAAUGCGUAGAGAUCAGGAGGAACACCGAUGGCGAAGGCAGCCCCCUGGGCUGGAAUUGACCUUCAGGCACGAAAGCGUGGGGAGCAAACAGG